GAAAUAUGGAACCUUUGAAGAAAUUUGGGGCCCCUUCCUGGCAGUACUACCGUCUUUGGACCUAAUAGAUCAUAGAGAUGACGCAAAUCCCCCUGGGUCUGCCUUGAUUUGAUCCCCGGUUAGGCCCUCCUGACUCGAUUUCCUGAAUGCUGCAGUUUUAUCGUGGGGGAUGUUGAUUCCUGUGCAUGAGAGUUUCUAUAGAAACUGUCUGGAUACACGAAUGUGAUGAGGUUGAGAGCCAUACAGGGGUAAAGGGGUGGGGGGAUGGUGGGAGGGGGUUUACAUGAUGUGUUUUGUGUUUUGCUCACUUUUUUUGAGUUCUUUGUUUCUUUUGUUUGUUUGUUUUUAAAAACAAUUCUGUAAUUAUCAAUGUUGUUAUGUUAUUAUUAUUAUUAUUGUCAUCAUUAUUAUUAUUAUGCUUGUAUUUUCUGUGUUUGGUUUUCAGAUGUCUGAGGUUAUCCUUGAAAGGCAUAGAUACAAGAGUGUGUACCUGGGAGUGCUUCUGUGGUCACAAUGGCCUGCCAUGUUGUGGUUAUUUGUUGAUACUUGCUCUGUCCCAUAGUUGUGAGUUUUCUGGGGGUUUUUUUUUUUGUUGUUGUUGUUGUUGCUUUGUUUGUUUGUGUUUGUUUUCUAAUUUAAAAAUGAAAAUAAAGCUUUGGAAAAAAAGAAAAAGAAGGCGAUCAUGGUAAUGAGCGCAUGCUAUGACCAAUAAUGAAAAGCUGCUGUUUUUCAGUCAAUUAGGAGCAUUUUUUCCAGGAAUUCAUUCAUGCUCUCAGAACAGUUAAGCCAGCCAUUAAAAUGCAUUGAAACCAUUCUUCCCCAAACAGCCUUGUUUUGUACUAAUGUUCAUUUCUUUUGAAAUAUUUAUAAUAAAUACUGUCUGAACUUGCAGAGUGCUUGCUAUUCCAUUUUUUUUAAAUUUAAUGUAGUUUUAUUGUGUUUUGACAUUUGUGCCAAAAAAAAGACUGUUUUGUAUUACAGCCUUUAACAUGGUUUUAGGAAUAAUAUUUCUUAAGUACAGUGUUUUAAAUUUAGUAAUGAAGCAUAU
ensembl:lncRNA